rnacentral:lncRNA from 1 species
CUGCUUCACAGGUAAAGCUGUAUCCGGCAGGUAACAAGCUGGACUUUACACGGUAAUUUUGGCUGCCUUGUGAUACGAAUUUGACUUCUUCCAAAACAUGAAAGUUGUAGAAACGUGCCUUAUAUUUCCAACCCAACUUGAAUCACCUCGAUCCAAUGUCUGCAUCUCAAGUUAUGAUUAUUUUACCGACAGCUGCUUCUUGCUUGAGGCAGUCACUAUUUUUGACUUUUCAACAUUAUUUUCCUCCGCUUGCUCCACUUGUUCUAAAUUAGAAAUAAAUGUGAAAUACAUCAAAUAGAUACUCUUUCAAAUGUAUAAUACUCAUGCCGACAUGUAUGUAAAUACGUAUUUC